rnacentral:other from 1 species
CGUCUCCUGGAAUGUGCGCCAGUUGGUGUCGUCCUUGAGCCGUUAGAGAAACUAAAGGAGACUUCGGCGCCGGUACCGGUGUGCCAGCCCAUCGCAGGCUUAUAUAAGGUCUAAAACCGUAGUAAGACUGAAUGGGAAGCCUUAGGUCUUGCCCGGGUCCCCGCCUUGAGCCAAAACGGUUCAGGGCAAACCAACAGCGGCAUUUCGGGAGGCUU